GGCUUAAUUUGACUCAACGCGGGAAAUCUCACCAGGCCCGGACACUGGAAGGAUUGACAGAUUGAGAGCUCUUUCUCGAUUCGGUGGGUGGUGGUGCAUGGCCGUUCUUAGUUGGUGGAGUGAUUUGUCUGGUUAAUUCCGAUAACGAACGAGACUCUGUCCUGCUAAAUAGUUUUCGCGUUUCCAUUGGCGCGAAAAUUUCUUCUUAGAGGGACUGGGGGCAUAUAGCCUCACGAGAUUGAGCAAUAACAGGUCUGUGAUGCCC
rnacentral:rRNA from 1 species